GAUGAACGCUAGCGGCAGGCUUAACACAUGCAAGUCGAGGGGCAGCGUGGAGCAGCAAUGCUCUGACGGCGACCGGCGGAAGGGUGCGUAACACGUGAGCGACUUGCCCGUCACAGGGGGAUAACCGGCGGAAACGGCGACUAAUACCCCAUACGAUGCGAUGCUGCAUGGCAUUGCAUUGAAAGAUUCAUCGGUGGCGGAUAGGCUCGCGGGACAUUAGCUAGACGGCGGGGGCAACGGCCCACCGUGGCGACGAUGUCUAGGGGUUCUGAGAGGAAGGCCCCCCANACUGGGACUGAGACACGGCCCAGACUCCUACGGGAGGCAGCAGUGAGGAAUAUUGGUCAAAUGGGCGGAAGCCUGAACCAGCCAUGCCGCGUGAAGGACUAAGGCCCUACGGGUCCGUAAACUUCUUUAGACGCAGAGCAAUAAGGUCCACGUGUGGACCGAUGAGAGUAUGCGUAGAAUAAGCAUCGGCUAACUCCG
rnacentral:rRNA from 1 species